AUCUUCGGCAAUGGGCGAAAGCCUGACCGAGCGACGCCGCGUGCGGGAUGAAGGCCUUCGGGUUGUAAACCGCUGUCGUAGGGGAGGAAAUGCAGGAGGGUUCUCCCUUCUGUUUGACCUAGCCUAGGAGGAAGGACGGGCUAAGUUCGUGCCAGCAGCCGCGGUAAGACGAACCGUCCAAACGUUACUCGGAAUUACUGGGCUUAAAGGGUGCGUAGGCUGCGCGGAAAGUUGGGUGUGAAAGCCCUCAGCUCAACUGGGGAAUUGCAUUCAAAACUACCGUGCUCGAGGGAGACAGAGGUAAGCGGAACUCAAGGUGGAGCGGUGAAAUGCGUUGAUAUCUUGAGGAACACCGGUGGCGAAAGCGGCUUACUGGGCCUCUUCUGACGCUGAGGCACGAAAGCUAAGGUAGCAAACGGGAUUAGAUACCCCGGUAGUCUUAGCUGUAAACGAUGAGCACUUGUUUGAAGGGUCCUCCAUAGCCUUUCAGACGUAGCGAAAGUGUUAAGUGCUCCGCCUGGGGAGUAUGGUCGCAAGGCUGAAACUCAAAGAAA
rnacentral:rRNA from 1 species